UUUUGACUUGCGUUAAUGUGUGCUAACUUGUUUUGUGUCUGCCACGUUCUGCUCUAUUCUUUGACGAUGAUUAUUUUUUUAAUGCCUGGCUGGUGAUCGACUGACACACCCUCCACGAUCGACCGGUAGCUCGCGAUCAACGUAAUACUAACCCAAAUGAAAGAAAUGCUUCAAAAUAAAAGUCUCUGGAAAACGUGUGUUGGCGAGUCCAACUGAUGACCGUGUGUUCCCGACGUGGUCAAUGUCCUCCUGAAUCAGUCUCAGAGUUUAACACUUGGCCAUCACUCCAGCAGCACUGAGAGCUUUUAGGUAAUGUUGCAAUUUUCCACGCCAACUAA